rnacentral:rRNA from 1 species
CGCGCAGGCGGCCGAUCAAGUCAGGCGUGAAAGCCCCGGGCUUAACCUGGGAAUUGCGCUUGGGACUGGUUGGCUUGAGUUCGGGAGAGGAGAGUGGAAUUCCCAGUGUAGAGGUGAAAUUCGUAGAUAUUGGGAAGAACACCGGUGGCGAAGGCGGCUCUCUGGACCGAUACUGACGCUGAGGCGCGAAAGCGUGGGGAGCAAACA